AUUGAACGCUAGCGGGAUGCCUUACACAUGCAAGUCGAACGGAGUGGCGAACGGGUGAGUAAUGUAUCGGAACGUGCCCAGUCGCGGGGGAUCACUACGCGAAAUCGUAGCUAAUACCGCAUACUCUUGGAUCGGCCGAUGUCGGAUUAGCUAGUUGGGGGGGUAACGGCUCACCAAGGCGACGAUCCGUAGCUGGUUUGGGAGGACGACCAGCCAAAGUGGGACUGAGACACGGCCCAGGCGCCUACGGGAGGCAGGAGGGGGGGAUUUUGGACAAGGGGGGAAAACCUGAUCGAGCCAGCCCGGGUGGGCGAUGAAGGCCUUCGGGUUGUAAAGGACUUGUGGCAGGAAAGCGGUACCUGCAGAAUAAGGACCGGCUAACUACGGGCCAGCAGCCGCGGUAAUUC
rnacentral:rRNA from 1 species